UUUUUUAAAAGUAUAAUGCUUCAGAGGAACUGCAAUGACCUCUUAAAGAUGACACAUCAUUAAAUUAGAUUCGAAGAAUGCAUUAAAAUUUGUGUUGGUAGUAUUAUGUUCUGAACUGGGUUUUUCUUAUAUUUUCACUCUUUCAACGCCAUUGUUAUUUUAAUAUGAAUUAUAAUAAAUUUUCGUCUUGAAUUUCCAGAUUUGAUCUAUAUCUAUUGAUAUCAGAACUUUGGAGAAUGGAGGCGUACAUUUCGUGAUGUGAAUGUAGAAGAAAGACGUAGAAUUGUAUCUCGAAAAUGCAUGUGCCUGUUCUCUAUGAACAUUUGAUCCAUUAGGAAACAAUAUUCCUUGUUUUAAUUGAUUUAAUUACGAAUGUGUUUCUUAUUGCCGAAGCAAUGUCUUAUAUUUCUCCCUAUGUGUCUGGACAUUUUUUCCCCUGGAUAGGGAAGAUCAAAAGAUAAAUUUCAAGAUUAGUGGAUGCAGAAUUUAUCUCGCAAUUUUUUCUUUUGUCAUGGCUAUAGGAAAAUCCAGAGGUCAGGGAUUUCACACUCAUAACUUGAAAAAUGGGUUCACUCAUAAACAACAUAAGUUAACUGGAAAUCCAUCUAAUAACCCGUACAAAAGAAGUAUUAAUGAAAGAAGAGAAGAUAUUAAUUUGUUUUCUGGAAAACUUAAUGAAGGAUCAUGGUAUUUUUGCACCGGGAAGAAUUACAUCUCAAUAUGAUGUUAAAGCAAUUCGUUUCCCUAGCCAAAUCUCUGCAAAAAAAAAAAUCUUUGGUUUAUUAAACUUUAAAUAUUAAGGACAGUAUUAAGGAGAACAUUUACUAUAUUCAAAGUGAACGUAGAGAUUACAACAGGAACCAAAAAUCAUCAAGAAUCCGCUAAAUCAUUUCCUUACUCGUCCAUUCAAAUAGGAAAAACACAUUUCAUUUCUCUAUUUAAAGUUAACAUUUUUGCAAUUGAAAAUGAAUAAAAAGGAACAUCCAACAUAUAUAUUUUUGAUGAGGCUGAACAGGAAACUAUUAAAAAAGGCUCAAAUUGUAUAUCAUCUCCCUUAUAUCAUGAAUUUCGGCGUAUAAGUGGUGUCCUGUGCCUUGAAAUUCAAUGUGAUAGUUGUGGAGGACAGAAUAAAAAUUAUAUCAUUAUGACUUUUGUAGAAGCCAUGGUUAUUUGUGGUGCAUUUGGUGAAGUUUCUAUAUACUGUGUGGUUGAAAAUCAUUUAAAGUUUUCGCAAGACCACAGCUUUGGCCUAAUUUCCAAAUUUUAUUAUAAUCAACACAAAAUUGAAUGUGUGGAAGAUUUAUUUGAAGUUUUGGACAAAGCAACUACUAAAUUAAUGUUAUAUCCUCUCUUAGAAGAGUGAAUAUCUACAAAUAAAUUGAUACUCAGCAUGCUAUUUUGAUUGUACAAGUAACCUAUCAGCCAAUUUUGAUCAAGAACAAGGAUUCUCGCAUGAAUAUGUCACUGAUGUGUUUCAGUCUCAUGGGAAAAGGAAGAAAAUUAUGUUUUUCAUUCGAAGGAUGUGAUUUGCACAGCAAAUAUUUUAAGAAGGAGAUAAAAUAAUGUGGAAUAUCUUUAAAAAAUCCUGCAAAAUAUUUAUAUGUGCAAACUACAACUGAUAACCACCCGGAUGUAAUUAAUGUAAAUUUUAUGAAACUUUAUUAGUAAUAGCCAUCAUCUUUUAUAAGAAAGCAUAAAGAUUAAUUAAAACUG
rnacentral:lncRNA from 1 species